UACAGAGGUCCCAAGCGUUGUCCGGAUUCACUGGGCGUAAAGGGUGCGUAGGUGGCCGGGUAAGUUUGAUGUGAAAUCUCCGAGCUUAACUCGGAAACUGCAUUGAAUACUAUCUUGCUUGAGGGUUGGAGGGGGGACUGGAAUUCUCGGUGUAGCAGUGAAAUGCGUAGAUAUCGAGAGGAACACCAGUGGCGAAGGCGAGUCCCUGGACAACUCCUGACACUGAGGCACGAAAGCUAGGGGAGCAAACAGG
rnacentral:rRNA from 1 species